UUAUCAUGCAUCAUUGCCCUAUGUUGUGGUUUCUAUCUACUUGCACAACAACAAGCUAAUCCUAACCAGGAAGAACAAGCAUGCAAGCAUCAAUCAAAAUAAAACAAACAUUUCAAGCAAAUAUUCACAAAGCACACACUAUAUCCAGUCAAGUGAGGCUCAAACAAAGGGUUCGACUGCCGAGGCAAGUCAUCUGUACAAGGGUAGAGUUAGCUCUUAACCUUGCCAUUG
rnacentral:lncRNA from 1 species